rnacentral:tRNA from 2 species
CUCCCCGUGGCACAACUGGAUAGCGCGUGCCCCUCCUAAGGGCAAGGUUACAGGUUCGACCCCUGUCGGGGAGGCCA